rnacentral:rRNA from 1 species
AGAGAGAGACAUGCGCGCAUAUCAAUAAGCGGAGGAAAAGAAACUAACAAGGAUUCCCUUAGUAACGGCGAGUGAAGCGGGAAGAGCUCAAAUUUGAAAUCUUCAAGGUUUUACCUUGACGAAUUGUAGUUUAAAGAUGUGUUUUCUGCUGAAGUUUUGGUAAAAGUUCUUUGGAAUAGGACAUCAUAGAGGGUGAGAAUCCCGUAUUUGACCAUUAUUUUCAGCUUUGUGAUACACUUUCAAAGAGUCGGAUUGUUUGGGAAUGCAGUCCAAAAUGGGUGGUAAAUUUCAUCUAAAGCUAAAUAUUGGCGAGAGACCGAUAGCGUAACAAGUACCGUGAGGGAAAGAUGAAAAGAACUUUGAAAAGAGAGUUAAACAGUACGUGAAAUUGUCAAAAGGGAAGCGUUUGACACCAGUGUUGUUUUCUCGAAAAUCAAUUAAAAAUGGCUCGAUUUUGUAUUGUUGAGACCUUAAAAGCUCACUGUACAUUUUUCGUGUCUUUUUUAAUGCACUUUUCGUUUAACAAGUCAACAUCAGUUUCUUUUGUUGUAAAAGGGUCAUUGGAAAGUGGCUUUCUUUUCGGAGAAAGUGUUUAUAGCCUUUGGCCUCUGCAAUCGGAGAGACUGAGGUCUGCAGCGUAGACUCUUCGGGGUUAGAUACAUUUGUGCUAAGUUAUAGCUUUUUAUAGACAACUUGUUGACUAUAAUUAGUCUUGUAGCUUACUCGCUUAUGCUAUUUUACCUACGCUUAGGAUGUUGAAGAUGUAGCACAUCAU